UACGGAGGGUGCAAGCGUUGUCCGGAUUCAUUGGGUUUAAAGGGUGCGCAGGCGGGCCAUUAAGUCAGGGGUGAAAGACGGUUGCUCAACAAUCGCAGUGCCUUUGAUACUGGUGGUCUUGGGUGACCUUGAGGUAGGCGGAAUGGGUGGUGUGGCGGUGAAAUGCAUAGAUACCACCCAGAACUCCGAUUGCGAAGGCAGCCUACUGGAGGUUUACCGACGCUCAGGCACGAAAGCGUGGGGAUCAAACAGG
rnacentral:rRNA from 1 species